rnacentral:snoRNA from 1 species
AGGCUAUGAUGUGGGCACUUCCUCAAUAGGUCUUUGAAUCUCUCCCAAGCUUUAUACAAACUCUCCUAAUCAUGGUGGGCAAAAGUCAUUAUCUCAUUGCGAAGCUU